rnacentral:rRNA from 1 species
CCUGGCUCAGGAUGAACGCUAGCUACAGGCUUAACACAUGCAAGUCGAGGGGCAUCAGGAAGAAAGCUUGCUUUCUUUGCUGGCGACCGGCGCACGGGUGAGUAACACGUAUCCAACCUGCCCUUUACUCGGGGAUAGCCUUUCGAAAGAAAGAUUAAUACCCGAUAGUAUAAUGAUUCCGCAUGGUUUCAUUAUUAAAGGAUUCCGGUAAAGGAUGGGGAUGCGUUCCAUUAGGUUGUUGGUGAGGUAACGGCUCACCAAGCCUUCGAUGGAUAGGGGUUCUGAGAGGAAGGUCCCCCACAUUGGAACUGAGACACGGUCCAAACUCCUACGGGAGGCAGCAGUGAGGAAUAUUGGUCAAUGGGCGCUAGCCUGAACCAGCCAAGUAGCGUGAAGGAUGAAGGCUCUAUGGGUCGUAAACUUCUUUUAUAUAAGAAUAAAGUGCAGUAUGUAUACUGUUUUGUAUGUAUUAUAUGAAUAAGGAUCGGCUAACUCCGUGCCAGCAGCCGCGGUAAUACGGAGGAUCCGAGCGUUAUCCGGAUUUAUUGGGUUUAAAGGGAGCGUAGGUGGACUGGUAAGUCAGUUGUGAAAGUUUGCGGCUCAACCGUAAAAUUGCAGUUGAUACUGUCAGUCUUGAGUACAGUAGAGGUGGGCGGAAUUCGUGGUGUAGCGGUGAAAUGCUUAGAUAUCACGAAGAACUCCGAUUGCGAAGGCAGCUCACUGGACUGCAACUGACACUGAUGCUCGAAAGUGUGGGUAUCAAACAGGAUUAGAUACCCUGGUAGUCCACACAGUAAACGAUGAAUACUCGCUGUUUGCGAUAUACAGUAAGCGGCCAAGCGAAAGCAUUAAGUAUUCCACCUGGGGAGUACGCCGGCAACGGUGAAACUCAAAGGAAUUGACGGGGGCCCGCACAAGCGGAGGAACAUGUGGUUUAAUUCGAUGAUACGCGAGGAACCUUACCCGGGCUUAAAUUGCAGUGGAAUGAUGUGGAAACAUGUCAGUGAGCAAUCACCGCUGUGAAGGUGCUGCAUGGUUGUCGUCAGCUCGUGCCGUGAGGUGUCGGCUUAAGUGCCAUAACGAGCGCAACCCUUAUCUUUAGUUACUAACAGGUCAUGCUGAGGACUCUAGAGAGACUGCCGUCGUAAGAUGUGAGGAAGGUGGGGAUGACGUCAAAUCAGCACGGCCCUUACGUCCGGGGCUACACACGUGUUACAAUGGGGGGUACAGAAGGCAGCUAGCGGGUGACCGUAUGCUAAUCCCAAAAGCCUCUCUCAGUUCGGAUCGAAGUCUGCAACCCGACUUCGUGAAGCUGGAUUCGCUAGUAAUCGCGCAUCAGCCACGGCGCGGUGAAUACGUUCCCGGGCCUUGUACACACCGC